UGGCUCAGACGGUAAAGCAUCUGUCUACAAUGCAGGAGACCCAGGUUCGAUCCCUGG
rfam:Ovis aries breed Texel chromosome 1, whole genome shotgun sequence.